AAAUCCAAAGAAAAAUAAAAGCGUAAAACAGAUACUCCAUAACCCUAGCAGAUUAGUGGAUGCCGCCGCCCGCCGGCGGUGGUUGCCGUCCGGCGCUCGCUCGCAAAAUUCACUGCGUGUCCCCUCUACCGCCAAGGUCAAUUCCUCUUAAGGGACUAAAUCUCCUCCAUGAAUCCCCAUGCAGCGCGCCACUCCGAUGAACACCCGAGACGGCAUGACAGGUGUGCUAGCAAGCGAUGUGGUUGCGGCAAGCCAGAAACAGAGCGCAAGAACAAACCAGAAGUAACGAAGUAUUGUACUUGUGUCCUGAGGGAUUGGAUUUUAUUGUUACUGGGUAAUAUAAGCAAAGUAUUAUGGCAUUAAGAAUUAGUCCUUCACAUGCUGCACUCGUACAAGCCAAUGCCAAGAAGAUAUGCUGCUUUAUGCAAACAAGAAGGUUAAAUUGCAAUGUGAAGAGGCCGUGUUUCGAUUAUAUGGAUACUGCCUGUGAUGGUAAUACACCUGUGCAGCACGAGACGAUAUUGGAAGGCGUAACUUCAGCAGUAGGGACGAGGAGCCGAUGUACCAAUUUCUCCAUGCGAAAGCUGAUAGAUUGAUUUCGAGCUAGUUAGAAGAAAAUGUAAAUAAAUAUUUGGAGAAAAUGUUCUUAUCAAAUUGCAAUUCUUUCACAAAUGUACGGUUCAAUUGUAAAGUAUUGUUAUGAAUAAAUAAAGUUAACGUUUACCGAA